GAAGGUUUAGCUCAGUGGUAGAGUGCAUCUUAGUAUGCAGGAGGUCUUGGGUUCAAUCCCCAGUGCCUCCA
rnacentral:tRNA from 1 species